UACGUAGGGACCAAGCGUUGUUCGGAUUUACUGGGCGUAAAGGGCGCGUAGGCGGCUUGACAAGUCACUUGUGAAAUCUCUGGGCUUAACCCAGAACGGCCAAGUGAUACUGUCGUGCUAGAGUGCAGAAGGGGCAAUCGGAAUUCUUGGUGUAGCGGUGAAAUGCGUAGAUAUCAAGAGGAACACCUGAGGUGAAGACGGGUUGCUGGGCUGACACUGACGCUGAGGCGCGAAAGCCAGGGGAGCAAACGGG
rnacentral:rRNA from 1 species